GCCAGGAAGGAGGAGGCAGCCAGAGUGGCCACCCCUGUUCCCUGCAGCAGAGGACCCCCUGCUGCCCCCAACCCAGCCCAGCCUUGGCCAGGACAGGAUAUCAGGGAUAGCAAGAAUGAAAGGAUCUGAGAAGUCCCAAGUUCAUGGAAGAUGACACCUGCCACAUGAAGGCGCACUGUCUUGUGAUAAAACACAUUGCGGCACAACCAAUGCUGGCAAUCAGCCAUAUAUUUAAAAAACCAAACUUCUUCACUAAGUAAACAUUGCCCUUGGCCGAAUGGAAUAAAACACCAUCCUACAAACUGGAUGGCCUGUAGAUUUCGAAGCCAACUCCUGGAAGAGGAAUGAUCUCACUCUGCGUGUUUAACGUCCAUGCCACACAAAAUACUCCGACAGUCAAGGAAGGGAUGUGAUGGAUAAAGAAUGAACAGGGCAACUGGGAGCAGACUGGGUGGCCUCUUCUGCUACCGGACACAACAAGAAGGCACUAAAGCUGGAAAGGCUGCUGCACAAAUGUCAACAUUCGGUCUCUGCUUCUCCCCACCUCCUCCCCCGUGGGCACCCCCCCCCCCGGGCUGCACCGGCACUGUGAAAAUGCAUUGACGAGAAGAUGCGGUUUUAAUGGGAAGCAAUCUGAUGCGCUCACGUGAGCCCGUACUCCAAGGACCUGUGUUCAUGUUCUGUGUCUGCCACUGCCCUGUUGAAUGACCUUGAGACUGUCCUUUACACUCAAUUGAUCUCCAAUUGUUCUUCCAACACUGUCAGUCAGACACUCCGGUAUUCAGAAGAUGUACUCCAGGGCCGGCACAGUGGAAGAGCUGGGAUUUAAUUCCGGAGGUAACAUUUCCCUCGGUCCACAAUAAGAAUGAGCUAGAAUAAGGCAGAGGCAGCAGAAGAGACAAUGAAUUGCAAACUUCUGGAGUCU